AGAGUUUGAUCAUGGCUCAGGAUGAACGCUAGCGGCAGGCCUAAUACAUGCAAGUCGAACGCUCAGUAGCAAUACUGGGAGUGGCGCACGGGUGCGUAACGCGUACACAAUCUACCUCUAAGCGGGGGACACCUCCUGGAAACGGGGAUUAAUACCGCAUAAUAUGCCGAAGUCGCAUGACUUUGGUAUUAAAGCAGCAAUGCACUUAGAGAUGAGUGUGCGUCCCAUUAGGUAGUUGGUGAGGUAACGGCUCACCAAGCCUAUGAUGGGUAGCCGGUCUGAGAGGAUGGUCGGCCACACGGGCACUGAGACACGGGCCCGACUCCUACGGGAGGCAGCAGUAAGGAAUAUUGGUCAAUGGUGGAAACACUGAACCAGCCAUGCCGCGUGGAGGAAUAAGGUCCUACGGAUUGUAAACUCCUUUUGACGAGGAAGAAAUGUUAGAUUUAUCUAAUUUUGACGGUACUCGUAGAAUAAGCACCGGCUAACUCCGUG
rnacentral:rRNA from 1 species